GACGAACGCUGGCGGCGUGCUUAACAAAUGCAAGUCGAACGGAGUGGCGAACGGGUGAGUAACACGUGGGUGAUCUGCCUUGCACUUCGGGCUAAGCGUGGGAAACUGGGUCUAAUACCGGAUAGUGCAAGAUGAGCUCGCGGCCGGUCAGCUUGUUGGUGGGGUAAUGGCCUACCAAGGCGUCGACGGGUAGCCGGCCUGAGAGGGUGUACGGCCCAGUUGGGACUGAGCUACUGCCCAGACUCCUACGGUAGGCAGCAGUGGGGAAUAUUGCACAAUGUGCGGAAGCCUGAUGCAGCGACGCAGCGUGGGGGAUGAAGGCCUUCGGUUUGUAAACUCCUUUCGACAGGGACGCGGUACCUGUAUAAGAAGCACCGGCUAACUACGUGCCAGGAGCCGCGGUAAUAC
rnacentral:rRNA from 1 species